GUUUAGCGAGGGGGAGCUAGACGUAAGCUCCACACAUUUCCUCGCUGCAGGGACAGAGAAUAUUCCAAGGAGAGUGUGAGGUGACGGUGACUGGAGCAAAUAGAAACAGAGACGAACACUCGACCACACCCUUGCCUCCUCAGUCACAUUCCUCCUGGAUAUCAUGAAACGAGUGCAGGCCUGUACUUAAGACAUCGUCAAAAGUAUGCACUCCCCUAGAGGACCAAUGGUAAGAGAUUUAGGUUCGGUCUCGAUGUGGUGGGAGCCACCUCCCCCACAUCACCCCGACGUGGAGCUCCGCCUCCCCUGCCAAAGCAUCGCACAUUUCACAUCUAACAGCCUUCAUGCAGGAUCACAAGUGCACAUAUUCCAUUCAACACAUUUUUGAAUGUAGUUUUUAUUUAUUAGUUUUAAUAAAUGUCAUAAUAUUUUCCUCAGAAUUAUCAUUUAAUUUUAAUUGUUUUG